GGGGUUGUGGCUCAGUGGUAGAGUGCUUGAUUAGCACAUAUGAGGCACUGAGUUUGAUUCUCAGCACCACA
rnacentral:tRNA from 1 species